rnacentral:rRNA from 1 species
CAGCGCCACAAGUGGCAAUCACGUUUAUUGGGCCUAAAGCGUCCGUAGCCGGUUUAGCAAAUCUUUUGUGAAAUCGUCAGGCUUAACUCGACGAAUUGCAGAAGACACUACUAAACUAGGGACUGGGAGGAGUCAGAAGUAUUCUGGGGGGACCGGUAAAAUGGUAUAAUCCCCAGAGGACUACCGAUGGCGGAGACAUCUGACCAGAACAGAUCCGACGGUGAGGGACGAAAGCCAGGGGAGCAAGCCGGAUUAGAUACCCGAGUAGUCC